GAUGAACGCUAGCGGCAGGCCUAAUACAUGCAAGUCGAACGGGGCUUGGUAGCAAUACCAAGUUCAGUGGCGCACGGGUGCGUAACGCGUAUGCAACCUACCUUAAACUGGGGGAUAGCCUUCCGAAAGGAAGAUUAAUACCGCAUAAGAUCACAUGAGGGCAUCUGAGAGUGAUUAAAGAUUUAUUGGUUUAAGAUGGGCAUGCGUGCCAUUAGCUAGUUGUAGUGUAACGGACUACCAAGGCGACGAUGGCUAGGGGUUCUGAGAGGAUGAUCCCCCACACUGGUACUGAGAUACGGACCAGACUCCUACGGGAGGCAGCAGUAGGGAAUAUUGGGCAAUGGAGGCAACUCUGACCCAGCCAUGCCGCGUGCAGGAAGAAGGCCUUCUGGGUUGUAAACUGCUUUUAUUUAGGAAGAAAACACUCUUGCGAGAGGAACUGACGGUACUAGAUGAAUAAGCACCGGCUAACUCCGUGCCAGCAGCCGAC
rnacentral:rRNA from 1 species